UUUAAUUCUCACCGCCCCCUUCUUUCCAAAAUACUGUACUUGUAAUCUCAAAUCAUGAUGUUAGCUAUUCUCUAACUUAUGCCAUCUAUUGGUGCAAAAAGACAUUACGUCAACCACGACCACAUUUACAUCCAAUCACAACAAUCAGUUGAGUAUCGGUAUAUACAGUUUCGUCUGCUUCUAGGGGUCCAAUUGUCAACUUGCAAUAACCUAGACUGAUUUCAGUCACCGUCUGUAACUCGUUUCAUACUGUCUACAAAUAACUUUAUUUAAAUCCUCACAAAGGAGUAGCUAAAAUCAGUGGUGUCUGGUGUGUAUUCAUUGCUAAUGAUGCAACAGUCAAAGGAGGGACAGCCUACCCAAUCACCGUGAAGAAGCAGCUGAGAGCCCAGGACAUUGCAAUUCAAAAUGGGCUGCCUUGCAUUUACUUGCUGGAUGCUUUCUAUGAGGCACUUUUAUCUUAUUUGGUUACCAUGAACAUGAAGGCUAUGAUUCUGGCUAUGGAAACUGCAGCCUCAACUAAUAAUUCUCUUCUUCAAUGGACAACUCCAACAAUGCCGAUGUUAGUAAAACGGUUUUCAAGCAUCUGAAGUGUUGGACUGAAUUCUACCUAAAGAUUAUUGAGCAACGCUUUGAGCAAUGGAAUAAUGACUGAAAUCGUCCAUAUUACAUGU